UACGAAGGGGGCGAGCGUUGUUCGGAUUUACUGGGCGUAAAGGGCGCGCAGGCGGCUAGUUUUGUCGAGUGUGAAAGCCCCGGGCUUAACCUGGGAACUGCGCUCGAAACGGGCUGGCUAGAGAUCGGGAGAGGAGAGUGGAAUUCCCAGUGUAGAGGUGAAAUUCGUAGAUAUUGGGAAGAACACCGGUGGCGAAGGCGGCUCUCUGGACCGUAACUGACGCUGAGGAGCGAAAGCGUGGGGAGCGAACAGG
rnacentral:rRNA from 1 species